rnacentral:rRNA from 1 species
UACGAAGGGGGCUAGCGUUGCUCGGAAUCACUGGGCGUAAAGCGCACGUAGGCGGAUCUUUAAGUCAGGGGUGAAAUCCUGGAGUUCAACUCCAGAACUGCCUUUGAUACUGGGGAUCUCGAGUCCGGAAGAGGUGAGUGGAACUCCGAGUGUAGAGGUGAAAUUCGUAGAUAUUCGGAAGAACACCAGUGGCGAAGGCGGCUCACUGGUCCGGUACUGACGCUGAGGUGCGAAAGCGUGGGGAGCAAACAGG